AUGGGGACGGGAUCAAGCAUCCUUGGCGCCGAUGCCGAUUGGGGUGAGACGUCUCUCGGCGACAUGCCGGAGAGCUGCGUGGCGGCGGUGCUGCUCAACCUUGACCCGCCGGAGAUCUGCCAAGUAGCCUGCCUCAACCGCGCCUUCCGGGGCGCCGCAUCCGCGGACUGCGUCUGGGCCGGCAAGCUGCCCGCUAACUACCGGUACCUUGCGGCCCUCGCAGCUGCCGCUGAUGAUGAGGGCGAUGGCGACGGAGACGGCAAUGUCAAGCCCUGCUCCCCUAUAUCGACUAAGAAGGGGAUUUACGCGCGCCUGUGCCGACCUACUCCAUUUGAUGGCGGUACAAAGGAAUUCUGGAUCGAGAAGAACAAGGGAGGUCUUUGUAUGUCCAUCUCCUCAAAAGCGAUGGCGAUCACAGGUAUAGAUGACCGAAGAUAUUGGAGCCACCUUGUCACAGAGGAAUCAAGAUUCCAUAGUGUUGCCUAUCUUCAGCAAAUUUGGUGGCUUGAAGUGGGUGGGGAGCUUGAUUUCUGCUUCCCUGCAGGUUCAUACAGCCUGUUUUUCCGUCUUCACCUGGGUCGAGCGCACAGACGCAUGGGUCGUCGGGUUUGUGGAACUGAGCUCAUUCAUGGGUGGGAUGCCAGACCCACGCGGUUCCAGCUCUCAACAUCGGACGAACAGCAGGCUACAUCGGAGUAUUAUCUAGAUGGACCGGGAAGCUGGAUUCUCUACCACGUCGGUGAUUUUGUCAUCUCGAACUCGGAUGAGCUGACCAGCCUGAAGUAUUCAAUGAUGCAGAUUGACUGCACCCAUACGAAAGGUGGUUUGUGCGUUGAUUCGGUUGCGAUAUACCCGAAAGGGUAUCGGCGCGAGAACAUGAACAUGGUCUACAUGUGA
rnacentral:rRNA from 1 species